rnacentral:rRNA from 1 species
UACGGGGGGAGCAAGCGUUGUUCGGAUUUACUGGGCGUAAAGGGCGCGUAGGCGGUCAGCACAAGUCAGUUGUGAAAUCUCCGGGCUUAACUCGGAAAGGUCAACUGAUACUGUGCGACUAGAGUGCAGAAGGGGCAACUGGAAUUCUCGGUGUAGCGGUGAAAUGCGUAGAUAUCGGGAAGAACGCCCGUUGCGAAGGCGGCUCUCUGGGACGGUACUGACGCUGAGACGCGAAAGCGUGGGGAGCGAACAGG